CCCGAAGCAAGUAAAUUCUUUUGUUUAUGUCGUAUGUCCGUUCCUGACUGAAGCAGAGGAAUUCUCAAUUGUUUUUUGCUUGUAUGAGUACCGGUCCAUCCGGCCGCACAAACACAAGUACUACCUUCGAUGCAGUAACCUCCAUUUUGGCAAGGACUGAUUUGACAAGAAGAUCCAGAACCUCAAUUAAACAAGAAAAUUCGAUAAUGAAUGGAUGAAUUCAUAAAGUUUAAUUCCGGACACUUGUAUUUAAAAUGGUAUUAUAGUGUGUAUGAAAAAAGAGGCAUGAGAGAUGAAUUUCAACAUCCAAACCCCCUUUAUAAGCCGAUACUGGCAAUAGCAAUAAUGGUAUGUGUAAAGUUUUUAGUUUUUAUUUCCUUUCGUGAUUCGCUUGGAUAUAUUCAGAAUUUAGAUGAUCAUAACUCAUAUACAACCCGAACGGCCUAUUUCACCAGAUAUAAGAUGAUUAACUUACCCUCCGUUACCAGGGCUUCGAUGUUCGAUAUUAAAACGCUCAGAAAUAUGAAAACAAUUCUCUUCAGCCACAUUGCGAUACUUUUGAAAAUAGAACAAUAAGCAAUCUGAUUUGUUUCUAAACAACAAUGAUCAACAUUUAAUCUGAAAGAAAAUCGCCCAAUAUAAUGUUUUGUAUACCGCUUUGUUUUUAUACCGUUUCGUAUUAUCUAUCCGACUCGUUAGUUAAGUCGAAUUGAAGAGCUCACCAAGUUCACACGUCUUCUGUGCAAAAUAAUCGAUUUUUUACUUAUUGUAGUAAAUUGUCUUGUAUAUGUGACAUUAAACCGGUUGCACUGUU